UUUUAUGAGAGUUUGAUCCUGGCUCAGGACGAACGCUGGCGGCGUGCCUAAUACAUGCAAGUCGAACGCUUCUUUUUCCACCGGAGCUUGCUCCAUCGGAAAAAGAGGAGUGGCGAACGGGUGAGUAACACGUGGGUAACCUGCCCAUCAGAAGGGGAUAACACUUGGAAACAGGUGCUAAUACCGUAUAACAAUCGAAACCGCAUGGUUUUGAUUUGAAAGGCGCUUUCGGGUGUCGCU
rnacentral:rRNA from 1 species